CACGUGUCCAGGUCACAUGGCCUGCCAGACAGAGAAGGCGGCUGGCAAUCAUUAACUAAUGCUUUCUCCCAGGGAGAAAAAUGCUGGCUUUAAGGAGGCCGGGACGUCAGAAUUGCAAUAGAAGCUCUGAGGUCGAGGGCACGCAUCCUCCUCGUACCCGGCCAGUGUCUCAUCUUAGCUGCCAUUACCAGAUUGGGGAGAUGGAACAGUAUGAAGGACGGUUCUAGUGAAGAGAGAAUAUCCUAUGGAAAUGUGAUUCAAUAUUUUGUAUUCCUUCGUGAAUUGAAGCAUACCAAAAACCAAAACAAAACCCUAGAAAGCCAAAGAAAGCCUGGUGUGAAUGAAGUGGAGGCCACAGGACCAGGAGUCAUCCAGGUCAAACAGCUGCUGUCAAACAGCUUUAAUCCAGCACUCCUGAGGCACAGUCAUGUGAUCACCUCUGAUCUCAAGGCCAGUCUGGUGGGUGUAGCCAAUUCCAGGUCGCCUGGGCCAUUCAGUGAGACCCUGUCUUCAAAACCAAACAACCAUAACAAAGAAAAACAAACAAACAAAAAAACAAAACAAAACAAACCCCAAAACCAAAAAAACCCACAAACAGCAAAAAAGGAGGAUCAGGAAUUCAGUGUCAGCCUUCAGUCAGUUUUAGGCUAGCCUGGGCUACCUGAAACCGGGCAUCAGCAAAGGAAGACAUUCCAUCUGUUAAUCCCUAAUAACAAGCCAUCUGUGACAAAGGUAGAAGUGGAAGUAUGUCCUUCUAGGGAGCGCUGUGUAUCCAGGCAGAAAUGACUGAGCUCCAUCCACCGGCAGUGAGUGGGUGCCACCCACGCCGGCCUCACAGCCCCCAGUGCAUAACUGUCUUGUAUACAACUGUUUGCUGUUUCGUUUGGCCUCUGACCUGGACUCCUUGACGAGCCCACAGUAAGAACAGCUGGCGUCCUCUUGUUGUGGUCUUUAGAGGAGGGCUGAAUGCUGUGACUGAGUGCUUGGGUCCCGCAGUGUGGACAAGUGUGCACACUUAGUCUGCACCUGACUUCCACGUCUUCUGCUCAAGUCAGUCAUUGGAUCACUGCUCACAGCCCAAAGCACCUCA
rnacentral:lncRNA from 1 species